CUUGGACUCACUGAGGCAGUAAAAGAACCAUAUCCUGUGUUUGAAUCAAAUCCCAAGUUCCUGUACGUAGAAGGUUUGCCAGACAGGAUUCCCUUUCGAAGCCCUCCUGGUUUGGAAUUCCAUGACUUGAAAGGAUCGUCCAUGGGAGUAAUAAAAUCAAAUUUGUUGGUAAAAAACCUGAACUGGUUAUUUCCUACUUGCCUCCUGGAGUUGCUAAUAAAAUAAACACUAAAGCUUCGCAGUUUCUAAAAAGACCAUGAAGCCCUGAG
rnacentral:lncRNA from 1 species